GACGAACGCUGGCGGCGUGCUUAACACAUGCAAGUCGAACGGAAAGGCCCAGCUUGCUGGGUACUCGAGUGGCGAACGGGUGAGUAACACGUGGGUGAUCUGCCCUGCCCUCUGGGAUAAGCCUGGGAAACUGGGUCUAAUACUGGAUAUGACCAACUGUCGCAUGGUGGUUGGUGGAAAGCUUUUGCGGUGUGGGAUGGGCCCUCGGCCUCUCAGCUUGUUGAUGGGGUGAUGGCCUACCAAGGCGAUGACGGGUAGCCGACCUGAGAGGGUGAGCGGCCACACUGGGACUGAGACCCGGCCCAGACUCCUCCGUGGGGCAGCAGUGGGGAAUAUUGCACAAUGGGCGCAAGCCUGAUGCAGCGACGCCGCGUGAGGGAUGACGGCCUUCGGGUUGUAACCCUCUUUCACCAGGGACGAAGCGUGAGUGACGGUACCUGGAGAAGAAGCACCGGCCAACUACGUGCCAGCAGCCGCCGUAAAAC
rnacentral:rRNA from 1 species